UCCCUGGUUGUCCAGUGGUUAAGACUUUGUACUCCCAACUCAGGGGGCCUGGGUUCGAUCCCUGGUCAGGGAA
rfam:Ovis aries breed Texel chromosome 13, whole genome shotgun sequence.